rnacentral:lncRNA from 1 species
UUUUUCUCUUUCUCUUUCUCUUUCUCUUUCUCUUUCUUCUUCUUUUUCGUUUUCUUCUUCUUUUUCUUUUUCUUGAGACAGGCUUUCACUUUGUAGCCUGGGCUACCCUUUAGCUUGUAAUUCUUCUAUCUCAUCAGAGAUUACAGCCACAUACAACUAAGCCCUUGUAGUUUAUGUUUUUCAUGGUUAGAGUAGAUAUAGUUUUUAUUUUAUCUUUUUUUCUCCUAUUUUUCUUUUAGUAAACUAUAUGCAGUGAAUAAUUUGUCAUUAAACAGAAGCAUGUGUUUUUCUUAUUUCAAAAUUAAUUUAUUUGAAAAUGUUAGGCUGCUCUCUUUACAUCUCUCAUGUCUUUCUCAUGCCCACCAUCUACCUUUCUCCCACUAACUAACUCUUGUCCAGAUUCAUCGCUGGGUCUCCUUGUGUGGCCCACCGACUUUAACCAGAGCCUUGUGUGUGAGCCCUGGAUUGCAGCUAUCCAAGGAAUCCAGUGUGACCCCCCUCCCCAAGAGCACGGUGAAGUGGAACCCAGGGUGUUCAUAAAAGUGUCUUAAUUUAAAGUAAAUAAUUUUCCAGAGGAUCAAAUUUUGCUUGAAAACCAUGUGUGUAAGAAGAUAGCAGAGAGUCCCUUUGGAGAACACAUGCAAAGUUGCUUUACAAUUGCUUCUAGAAGGCUGUAAAUGCUUAUAAAGGAAUGCUUAUAAAGGGAAAUGAAAAGGAGAAGCAAGAAGUUGGGCAUUAUAUCAUUCUUAACGGAAAAGGACACUUCCUACUCACUGCAUCUGAAAAUCUGUAUUAAAGGCAUAGGUCCAGUCAGCCACUUAAAAAGCAACACCCACCUAUGAGGACUGGACUCUGCCCAUAGUGCAGGGCUCAUCCUGUACUGGAGCCUCAUCUCUGCCUCACAGACAUUGCCUUUCCAGGAAUUGGCCAUUUCAGUGAGAAUGAUAGAUUUAGAAAAAGUCUGUAAUGCGAUCGAAAUUGAGAAUUUUAUCCACAUUUUGUUGUUGCUCAUAAAACCUGAAAUCACUCAUAUAAAGCCACAAAAUAGCAAAGGGAAAUCAAUGUCUCUGUAAUUGCCCUAAAUGUUAUAUUUAAAAAGCACUGUAUUGGAUUGAUGGUGAGGUUUUUAACUGGGGGGAGAUUACAUGUCUUUGACAAAGCCUGCUUAGCUGAUGCUGCCUAACACAGACAGAAGAUAGGUUAGAGACAUCUUGUGUGUUAUCUGUUUAUUUCCGGCCACAUCCUGACCUAGCAGGAAUUACUUUUCACAGCCUGUUCCCUUUAGGGCAGCAUCCUGUGGGAGUGAGCGCUUGCUUCCUCUUGACUUCCUGUGUAUUUAAAGCACUCUUACCAAGAGGCAGUGCAAUGUAUGUGCUGGCCUUAUUUUCUCUUGCCAGAAAUUAUUAUUCCUCUCUAUAUAAGUUUAGAAUAAAUAGAAUACUUCCCAUGUCAAUAGGCUAAAGCACAGAUUAAAGGUCAAACGAAAAUUCACUAUUGAAAACAAAACACCGCCCCACCCCCAGUGCUUAUGAAUUAAGGCAGGUUAGAUGGAAACUAUUGAAGGCUGCUUGAUGCUGAAGGAUGGCGAUGGUCAAGUCACGUGUUCAUCGCCUCCCUUCCCCCUCUCUCAUGUCUCUCCCUCAGGAUCUGGAGCCGCAGCCCAUUCCCUGGGGUUGUGCUAUUUUGCACUUUUCCCCUACUGUGCUGGUGCCAACUUGCAUGUUGGAUGCUGACUGAGGCUUUUCCUUGCUGGCCAGCACCUAGACUGCAGGACAGCCAGUAGCUCCUGUCCAAGUCCCAUUUCUAUGUAGGGCAGAGCUGAGGGCUUGCUCACCUUGGGCUGCAGCUCACUCCAUCACCAUGCAGCAAUCCAGAGGAAAUGUCAAUGUGGUGAACUGGAAUAGGUAUUUAUACAUAAGGGAAAAGAACAUAUAUGUUGAGGAUAAGUGUCUUAAAGUGAUUGAUCCUCUGGUUCUGUAAGUUCAAAGGAAGAAAAGAAGUGGUCAAAGUAGAACCUUUUGUCAGGAAGUUCCAUCAUGAAUCCUGGGUUUCCCCCUCCUUCCAGUGUGCUGGUGUUCUCUUUCGUCUUGCUCCAAGAAGAAUCCUUUAUUUGAACCUCCACAGUCAAGACCUCCUCCUUCUGUUAGGCUUAUGUUUCAUCGCAUGAUUGUCUACAAUGCUGCAUUAGCCAACAAUGAGUGUUCACUGUCGGACCUUAUGCCUGGACAGCAAGAUGGGGAUACUUCAUGGAGGAGUUGGUACAAACAACAGGGUAUGAGUCUCACCUUUCUAGGUCUCAUUCCUGGUUGC